CGCGUCGUUUUGGAUUUAUAUGAACUAUCAUUACAACCCUGAACGGUGGAUCACUCGGCUCGUGGGUCGAUGAAGAACGCAGCAAAUGCGCGUCGACAUCACUGUCGAC
rnacentral:rRNA from 1 species